rnacentral:rRNA from 1 species
CGCUAUCACUCCGUACGGGAGGCAGCAGUAGGGUAAUUUUUCGCAAUGGACGAAAGUCUGACGAAGCAAUGCCGCGUGAGGGAUGACGGUUUUCGGAUUGUAAACCUCUGUUAUAAGAGAAGAAUACUAGGUAUAGGAAAUGAUAUCUAGCUGACGGUAUCUUAUCAGAAAGGGACGGCUAACUACGUGCCAGCAGCCGCGGUAAUACGUAGGUCCCGAGCGUUAUCCGGAAUUAUUGGGCGUAAAGAGCAUGUAGGCGGUUUAUUAAGUCUGGUGUGAAAGCUAGUGGCUCAACCACUAAAUUGCAUUGGAUACUGGUAAACUAGAAUACUGGAGGGGCAAGUGGAAUUCCAUGUGUAGCGGUGGAAUGCGUAGAUAUAUGGAGGAACACCAAUGGCGAAGGCAGCUUGCUGGACAGUAAUUGACGCUGAGAUGCGAAAGCGUGGGUAGCAAACAGGAUUAGAUACCCUGGUAG